CAAAGCAAAGAAGAGCAAAUUAAAAGGGCCAUACGGCCAAGCUCUUGAAAAAUUGACCCUUUGAAAUCUUUCUCCAAAAAUUAUUUUCUUGUGGUAUUUCUACUAAUUCAAGGGUCCUUUACAACUUGGUGUAAUUAUUUUGGAAGAAAGAGCACUUGUUUCUUCAAGUUGACAACUUGGUCAAGUGAAAAAGAUUGUAGAAAAAGAUUUUGGCGAACUUGAAACUUGAUUUUGGAGACGUGUAUGAAGCGGAAAAGGUCAACAGGUAGACAAAUUUGACUCUUAGAAGCUCCAUCAGCAGUACUGUGGCAGCGCUCCAGUUGUUCCGGAGCCUCAGUUUCUUGGUACUACUUUUGUGUACAUAUUCGGGCACGGUAGAACCGGUCCUUCUUGUAUAUGUAGAUGUACUUUGUUUAGAGGCUCGUAGACAGAUAUGUACAGUCAGAUGUUUUGUACUUUUGUGGUCCUCGUCGUUGUAUAAUGUGCUAGCAAAGUUUAUAAGUCCAUGUCUACAAUUAUGCCAUUAAUGUUAGCGUUAAGCAACAUAAAAAAAAAGAUACGGUAUAGUCUAUACGGCCCACCUAGUAGUAAAAGUACGAUACGAGAUAAGGGGUGCUCGGUACAAGUAUCGGGUACCCGUCGCGGCCCCUAGUUGGGUCGUGACAUUUAGCUUCACACUUGGGACAAUGAGGAUUAUC